CGCGUAGGCGGGAUGGCAAGUCGGUCGUGAAAUCCUUCGGCUCAACCGAAGAACGUCGGCCGAUACUGCCGUUCCUGAGGGAUGCAGAGGAGACUGGAAUUCCCGGUGUAGCGGUGAAAUGUGUAGAGAUCGGGAGGAACACCGGUGGCGAAGGCGGGUCUCUGGGCAUCUCCUGACGCUGAGGCGCGAAAGCGUGGGGAGCAAACGGGAUUAGAUACCCCGGUAGUCCACGCCAUAAACGAUGACGACUAGGUGUGGGGUGGUUCAGUCCACUCCGUGCCGCAGCUAACGCAUUAAGUCGUCCGCCUGGGGAGUACGGCCGCAAGGUUGAA
rnacentral:rRNA from 1 species